UGUUUUAAAGGUGGAUGCAUCAAUUAACUCUGUGCUCUCUCUUUCACACUCAUCAUCAAACUGACUCUCUAACCUCUCGGAUCGCUCUGCACUCUCUCAUCUCCUCCUUUGCUAUGUCAACAGCCUCGGACUCAACACUCUCUCUAAUCCCUCGAAUCGUCUCUGCACUCUAUGCUCUACUUCUCCUCCUUGUCCUCCUCAACCAUCUUCCUCCCUCUCAUAUACUUAACUCUUCCUCUUCACUUUCACGCAACAGCGCCGCCAUCCACCAGUCACCAACGACCGCCAAAUUAAACUUCUAGAAUCCUUUUUCUGUCCUCUUUCCAACCCCCAAAUUAGUUUCUACAAAUUCGUAACCGAAUUUCCUCAAUUUCAGAUCUAAGAAACGGUGACCAUUGGUUUUCUGGCCAAGCCUGUCGGAAUUGGACCUCGACCCAAGAGAUCAGUGAACAACUUCUGGGUGUCCACAGAGUGUUGUGGCAAUUUUUUUGGUGCGUGCAGUUUUGUUCCUGCCAUAUAGAUGGGUAAUCUUGGUUGAGAAAUUUGUUCUAAUCAGCCGCAAAAUAUGGUCGAAAGUUUGUUGCCCUUGAAGUUCAUGACUUGGAAUCGUCGGGGUUGUUCCCGGCUAGGAUAUUUUUUCAAGCUUCCUUAUUAGAUCGAAUAAAUUAUCUUGAUAUUUUCUGUUGUAUCUCGAAUAAAUUUAUCAUUUGCUGUUGCAUCUCAUGGUCAGUGUGGGGGUUACCUGUUAUUAAGGAACUCUAUUUCGGUUAAUUUUAAGAAUACUAAAGUUCGGAUAUGUUUUUGGAUGAAAUGUGACCUUUCUUUUUGAUAUUGGAGGGGUGUUGCAUAAAAUUUGAUACCUGCAAAGCUGCACACAAGUCAAUAACAUGAAAUAUGGAGGGUGUGUAAAUCCAUCCGUCUCAGAGGUUUUGAGUUUCAUAUGUAUAGUCAAUUAUCGUACGUUCAAAGUUUGUUAUUGACCAAAAGAAAGAUGAUGGGAAGCCAAGGGUUAUGGCUACUCUGAAUAAUAAUAAUAAAAUCUAAUCUUUGUAACCAGAAAACUUAAUCUAAUUAUUUGUUCUGGGAAUGUCAUGGAUAAUUAUAUUCUAGUAAUGAGGUACAUGACUUCUUUGUGAAAGCUCAUGUUUUGUGUUCAGUUCAUCAUCUUGUGUUUUGGAAAAGAACAGAUCAAAUAGUGUAGAAAGUCUCAGUUUGGUUGCUUAGUUCAAAUUACUUUAAGAAAUUUGGGUUUGAGCGGACAUUUGUUUGUGGUAAUUGUUAUCCAGCUUUCUUGUUCAGAUGCAAUUGCGUUCUAGUCAUGUGCAAAAGAAAAAUGUACCUCAUUAGCAAAAUGCUUUUCGAAAUUAAAAUAAACAUCCAGUGCUGACUUGUUCUCUGCAUGUUGCUUCGUGUGCAGAGAACACGAAGUAUAUGGAAGAGUGGCUCUCUUCUCUGAGGAGCAGCUGACACCGGAUGAAAUGGAUACUGGCCUAGUUUGAUGUAAUUACUUACUAGUAGUACGGGACUGGCUAAUAUAACUUUGAGUAGCAGAGAUGGGAGUAUUAUAGAGGAUUCUAGUGCCACUAUUGCUGGAAGGUGGUUUGUUUUCUUGCUGCCUUUGCCUUGGGAUUGACUUGGAAGGAGGCUGCUGCUACUGUCUUACUUGCAAUUCAAAAUUAUGGUUAAUUGCGUGGAGUAUCUGGGGACUGGGGCGUGACAAUAGAUGCCAAAUGGUAUUGUAUCUCAUUUUGGAGUUUGGUGUUGUGAACCCUUUUGUACAUACAAGUUUAAAAUAUAUAUGCAUAUAUGUUUAUAUGCACGUGGCAUGAGGUCAUUGAUUUUUUGGGUGCAAUACAUCUUAAUUCUAAGAAGAGGAGAUUUGACUUUGUAAGUGCAGGUAUCAGAUUGCUCUACUCUCUUAGUGCCUGGGUAUUAUAUGAAGCUUUGCGCUUUCAGAUUAAGGGUCCGACACUGGCACUCAAGCAGCAUUUUGGAAAGAAAAUUUUGGAACUAGGAGAUGAGAAAAGAACUGUGCAGGUUCACUUACAACCUUUAUAAUUUUUGUUUUAUUUUAGUUGGGGAUAGAACAUGUAAAAUUAUAGUUGUUUUUACAUAUAAUGGUUGUGAAUAUCCUUGUAAAUUGUAAUAUUAUAGAUGCUUGUGGUUGUAGGCUGUUUUAAUUUUAUGAAAAAAUUAUUUUUUGUUUA